GCCAGGCGUGGUGGCUCACGCCUGUAAUCCCAGCACUUUGGGAGGCUGAGGCGAGUGGAUCACCUGAGGUCAGGAGUUCGAGACCAGCCUGGCCAACAUGGUGAAACCCCGUCUCUA
rnacentral:SRP_RNA from 2 species